rnacentral:tRNA from 1 species
AUUGUUUUGGCAGAUUAGUGCCAUGAAUUUAGAAUUCAUAAAUGUAAUUAUUUUACAAACAAUA